rnacentral:rRNA from 1 species
UACGAAGGGGGCUAGCGUUGCUCGGAAUCACUGGGCGUAAAGCGUGUGUAGGCGGAGUUCUAAGUACCUUGUGAAAUCCCACGGCUUAACCGUGGAACUGCUUGGUAUACUGGUUCUCUUGGGCCAUCUAGGGGCUAGCGGAACAAACGGUGGAGCGGUGAAAUGCGUAGAUAUCGUUUGGAACGCCAAUGGUGAAAACAGCUAGCUGGGGAUGUGCCGACGCUGAGACACGAAAGCCAGGGGAGCGAACGGG